AUGCUGAAUAGGCUUCCUCGCAAGAAAGGGGAAAACUUGGCAGCUAUGGUUUGAACAGAGAGCUUUCUGGGCCUGUGUACACAUUUGCAUAUUGUAGACACUGUGCUGUGGCACUCCACAUGUUGCAGCAGUACAACUUUCAUCAGUUCCAGCCAGUAUGGAUGAGGAUAAUGAGAGUUGUUCAGGAACAGUUAGAAGAACACAGGUUAGUUACCUAAGGGGUCCCUUUUUCUAAGGAUUGGAACUGUCCAACUCUCCAGAUGUGUUGUCCUCAUGUCAAAUUGUACUCAGCAGUUUAUCAAGAACAUUAGGACAUUUUUGAUAACUUUUAAAGGAUGUUAUCUCUUUGCUUGCUUGCUGCCCCACUCCCUGUGAUAAAAAGGCAGAGAUUAAUGGGAAAUUGUUGACUAUCCUAAAACUUUCUGCUUAGUUCCUAUACCUCAGAUUGCCGCUAUACCCAAAUGGGUGAGUUACACAUUAUACAACCCCCCCCCAACUAAUUCCUAUAAUUGUGGGGUGAGAAUGAGGAGGAGGGGGAGCUUGUCAGUAAACAGUGCAAGCAAAUGUGUGUCUGUCCACAAGUAAGGCCUACUAAAUUAAGUGGGGCUCACUCCCAGGAAAGUCAGGGAUUCCCACACAGUGGGGUCAAUGUUGCCAGCCUUCAUGUCAUGUUUGCAGACAUCUUUGUAAUACAGGGUUGGUCUGUCAAUGGACCUGGUGCCUGAAGCCAGCUCCCCCUAGAGCACAUCCUUAGAGAUACUGCCAUUUCCAUUCUGUGGACAUGACCAAACCAGUGUAGAUGUUGCUAUUUAAUAUGUGGUUGGCAAAGGUUAUUGUGUGGUACAGAGGCAUAUAAACUGCAGGUCCAUAUUAAGUGUACUGCUUCAGUUUCAAACUUUCAUGCAAAUUAGGAACUGGGAAUGGUGUGUACGCACAAAGCAUCUCAUUCUGAAGCGUAGGAAAUGCUGUGUGAGUAGCAGAAACCUCUGUCUGGUUUAAGAGGAACUACUGCUAUAUCUGUAAUGAUACUUCUGCUGGGGCUGGGGCUCUGCCUUUGCUGUAUUCAUCUCACAAGUCAACAGACUUGUCCCACCUCAGGUACUCUUACCAAACCAAACAUAUUUCUGGAAGCCUCACCCAGUGAUGAAGCAGAUGAAGUUUUGGUUAAGUGUCAAAUACCACCAGUCUCUCCUUUUACCAGAAUUAUUCUCUGUGAAGACGGGGUAGGAAUCAAAAGUCAGAAGCAAAAGGAUACAAUAUUUUUAUAUAAAUUCUCUUAUAAAAUAUCGAGAGCAAGUAUAAGACAGCUUUCUUGCAUGUACCAGAACAUGGAUAAUAAUAACAAGGUGAAUAAUUCCUUUCCAAGUGAUGCCAGGAACCUUUCUGUUUCAGAAAGGGGCACUUGGAGAAUAGACUCCAAUGAAGAUUUCAGGAUACAUGCAGGUGCCUCAAAUAAUGCAGGUUCCUUAGGUUUUGAAAUUUCCCUAGCAUUAGGAUUUGGAAUUGCAACUGCUUCCACCUUUAUCUGUGCUGCAUUGUUUUAUGUGCUGGAGAAAAGAGGUAAUGUUCAAGCAAAACACAGCAAUCAUAAUUUAACUACUAAAAUAAACCCUCUGCAAUCCUGCCUUGCUAGGAUUUAUGUUACAACCGACUUACUUCAGUAUAGUCUUAUUGCACAGUCUGUUUCUCUGACAGUGGUGGAUGUGGAUGAUGCCUCUGUCUUGACACUGUUCACACAUUCAUCUUAUCUCUUGGUUGCUCCUGGAUGGGCAGCAUAUGCAUAAUAAUGUUCCUGCAUGCUGUCUGCAUGUCCACUCCAGCAAUCACACUGUAAGGUGUGUGCACAUAUAAUGAACAAAUGUCAUGUUGAAGGAAUGAGCACUACUGUCCCUGAUAUUGGAGGAACAAGUGGGAUGAUGUCCCAGGGAGGGGCAAGUUUUAAAUAGCUGUCCAGAACUUUCCCCAUUUAUGUCUGCCCCCUUAUGCAAUGGUUCAAUGUGUGUUAUAAUUAUGGUAUUAUGUCAUAGCAGCUAUGAAGAGAUUUAUCUAAGAUGAUCCAAUGUACACUGUAUCUCUCUCAGGUAUAAUCAAAUGGAGAGCAACCAGGUAGGUGUAAUGAGACUUCAAUAAUUAUGCCUUGAAUUCAGUAAAGUGUGAUUCAGUAUGCAGGAAAUAUGGUAAAGCAGCUUUGUUCCUCAAAACAGCAUAUUCUGGGCAACAAGUUCUUUUCUGGAUAUUGGUCAUGCCUAAACCUGCUUCAUAUCGUAACUGGAACUAAUGCUUUCAUAUCUUCUCCUGGGUUAAAUAGAAAUCACGCAUUUCAAGUAGAGACAACUUCCUCUAUUCCUCACAGUAAUAAAAUUGGAGAAGAAGUAGCAAAACUUGGAUGGGUAAAUUCAGACAGUCAUUUAUCAAGUAGUAAUGUUUCAUGGCACUAUAUCUAAUCAUAUUUUAAAAAUGAGUUCAUAUAGUGAAGCGCCUGCUCUUAAGAAGGGUCAGACAAUAUGUUGUAUGGGGGCAGUUUGUCCUCCUCUUGAGUUGGGGCUCUUAAGUUUCUUUCCACUCUAAUACUUGUUUUGUGAAUACAACACCCAUAGGUAGAUUUAGGGAAGUGUGUGAAGCUGAUUCUCCAUGGAAAAAGAGAGAAUUUGGCUUUAAAUGAAGUUGCCUGCUGGAAUGUUAUUGCAGACAUAUAAUGUCUGUGUUUAUGUUGUGAACCACCCUGCAGAUAAAGGACAGCAUACAAACUUAAUAAAAAAUAGAACCCAUGCUAAUCUUUGACUUCAGUUUAAUAGCUUGAGAUGUAUAUUAAUGUAUUUCAUAAAAAUUGAUAUACUGCUUGAUUGUAGAAAAACCUCAAAACAGUUUAUAAAAGAGAUAAAACAAUAAAAUUUACAGCAAUAAUUUAAAGUAUACAAAAAGUUGAAACAGUAAUAGAUUGAAGCUAAUUAAAACUCUCUAAACUUUCUAUGUAUGUCCACAUACACAUUUGAAACUAGAGAACUUCUCUCUGCCCCUCCAGCUUUAUAUAUCUCACACAUCUUUGCUUUCCACAGACAUCCAGAAAGAGAAAACCAAACACGGCAACCAGUUGGUUCAUUUAACGAUGAAUCAGAGCAGAAUCCCUUGCAUGUUUACACAGAUAUAAACAUCAGUCCCGUCAGUGGGAUUUACUGCCAGG